rnacentral:rRNA from 1 species
UGGGGAAUAUUGCACAAUGGGGGGAACCCUGAUGCAGCCAUGCCGCGUGAAUGAAGAAGGCCUUCGGGUUGUAAAGUUCUUUCGGUGACGAGGAAGGUUGAUAGGUUAAUAGCCUAUCAAAUUGACGUUAAUCACAGAAGAAGCACCGGCUAACUCCGUGCCAGCAGCCGCGGUAAUACGGGGGGUGCGAGCGUUAAUCGGAAUAACUGGGCGUAAAGGGCACGCAGGCGGUGACUUAAGUAAGAUGUGAAAGCCCCGAGCUUAACUUGGGAAUUGCAUUUCAUACUGGGUCGCUAGAGUACUUUAGGGAGGGGUAGAAUUCCACGUGUAGCGGUGAAAUGCGUAGAGAUGUGGAGGAAUACCGAAGGCGAAGGCAGCCCCUUGGGAAUGUACUGACGCUCAUGUGCGAAAGCGUGGGGAGCAAACAGAAUUAGAUACCCUGGUAGUCCACGCUGUAAACGAUGUCGAUUUGGGGAUUGGGCUUUGAGCUUGGUGCCCGUAGCUAACGUGAUAAAUCGACCGCCUGGGGAGUACGGCCGCAAGGUUA